UACGGAGGGAGCGAGCGUUGUUCGGAAUUACUGGGCGUAAAGCGUAUGUAGGCGGCUUCGUAAGUCGAGUGUGAAAUCCCAGAGCUUAACUUUGGAACUGCAUUCGAGACUGCAAGGCUUGAGUAUCGGAGAGGUUGGCGGAAUUCCCAGUGUAGCAGUGAAAUGCGCAGAUAUUGGGAGGAACACCGAUGGCGUAAGCAGCCAACUGGACGAUUACUGACG
rnacentral:rRNA from 1 species